rnacentral:rRNA from 1 species
AUGGCGAUGGCCGUGCAAGGUGAGGGCUUCUCCCCUCCCGGCUCUACUUUCUUCUCCUGCAAACUGCCAAGUGUUUUUGACACGGGCUUAUAUAUUGGAUCCUCUGCUCUGCUGCUGCCGCCGGCUGGAUGCUGCUCUUGCUUGAUGUCUGUCUUCACAGCCUGGCUUGGUGGCCUUGCGUGUAUCUUCUCCACCACCCUUCUCUUCCAAAUCCUGGUACGGCCCUGCAGCAAUGGAGGAGGACUCUUCUUCUGCUCACAGUCUCCAAAUGCCCCCUCCAUCCUCAGCAGCAAGGACAGGACUGCCUACCAUUUCCAGCCUCCCAAAAACUGGAUCAACGAUCCAUGUGGACCAAUGUACUACAAUGGCAUCUACCAUGAAUUCUACCAAUAUAACCCCGAUGGCUCCUUCAAUCCCAAUACCUCACUCAACAUAGUUUGGGGCCAUUCGGUCUCAACAGACCUCGUCAACUGGAUCACUCUUGAACCCGCAUUAGAACCGGAUACCCCAAAUGACAUAAAAGGUUGCUGGUCCGGCUCAGCCACAAUUGUAUCUGGUGAUCAACCCGUCAUCAUAUACACUGGUGUCAUCGACAUAGAGAAGCAUCAGGUCCAAAACAUUGCGCUUCCCAAAAACCGGUCUGAUCCGUACCUAAGGGAAUGGACCAAAGCAAGCAAUAACCCAGUGAUCCAAUCGGGUGUACCAGGCUUGAACUCGGGGCAGUUCAGGGAUCCGACAACCGGUUGGAUCGGACCGGACGGACUAUGGAGAAUAGCAGUCGGUGCUCAGCUGAACGGCUACGGUGCUGCACUUUUGUACAAGAGCGAAGACUUCUUGAACUGGACUAGAGUUGACCAUCCGCUGUAUUCAUCCAAUGCCUCCAUUAUGUUUGAGUGCCUGGAUUUCUUCGCGGUAUUGCCGGGAAGUAACAAUGGACUAGACAUGUCUUCAGCAAUCCCAAAUGGCGCCAAGCAUGUCCUCAAAAUGGGCAUGAAUUUUGGUGAAGACGUGUAUGUGAUAGGGGUUUAUGAUCUCAAACGUGAUGUCUUUGUGCCAGAUACUGAUGACAGUCGGCUAUGGCCGAGGAUCGAUUAUGGUAAUUUCUAUGCUUCAAAAACGUUCUUUGACUCUAAACAUGGAAGGAGGAUCAUAUGGGCUUGGACUACCGAGACUGAUAGUUCUUCAGAUGAUGUUGCAAAAGGCUGGGCAGGAAUCCAUUCAUUCCCCAGGACAAUUUGGUUAGACAACGAUGGUAAGCGGUUGCUGCAAUGGCCAGUUGAAGAGAUUGAAUCCCUUCGAAGAAAUGAAAUCAACCAUCAAAAACUAGAGCUGAAGAAGGGGGAUCUAUUUGAGAUUAAGGGAAUUGACACUUUGCAGGCUGAUGUCGAGAUUGAUUUCGAGCUGACGUCAAUUGAUGACGCCGACCCUUUUGAUCCUUCCUGGCUUUUUGACACCGAGAAACAUUGCCAGGAAGCGGAUGCAUCGGUUCAUGGUGCCAUAGGGCCAUUUGGACUUGUUAUUCUGGCCUCCGACAACAUGGAGGAGCACACUGUUGUGCACUUCAGAGUUUACAAAUCACAGAAAAAUUAUAUGAUCCUCAUGUGCUCUGAUCUAAGAAGGUCUUCCCUGACACCAGGACUGGACACACCGGCCUAUGGAGGCUUCUUUGAAUUAGACCUUGAAAAGGAAAGGAAGAUCUCCCUCAGAACUCUGAUUGAUCGGUCUGCGGUGGAGAGCUUCGGUGGCGGUGGCAGGGUCUGCAUCAUGGCUAGAGUUUACCCAGUGUCACUUGUCGACGACGACCACCAGCCCCACAUGUAUGCCUUUAACAAUGGCAGUGCAACUGUCAGAGUGCCUCAUCUCAGGGCUUGGAGCAUGAGGACAGCACAAGUGAGCGUUUAA